GUUGAAACACAAGUUCCCGUACGAUCAUCGAAGUUAAGCAACGUCGAGCCUGAUCAGUACCUAGAUGGGUGACCGCUUGGGAAUGCCAGGUACAGU
rnacentral:rRNA from 1 species